CUGGCCGCAUGGCACCCUCGGCUAUAAGACGCCCCGGGGGGCGUUACAUUCCGAGGGCCUUUGACCGGCCGCCCAAACCGACNCUGGCCCGCCCGCGGGGAAAUACNCCGGCCCGAAGGCCNGCUGAACCCCGNGAGCGAGUCUGGUCNCAAGCNCUUCCCUUUCAAGGAUUUGACGUGCUGUUUAACUGUCUUUUUAAAGUGCUUUUCAUCUUUCGAUCACUCUACUUGUGCGCUAUCGGUCUCCGGCCAGUAUUUAACUUUAGAUGAAAUUUACCACCCAUUUAGAGCUGCAUUCCCAAACAACUNNACUCGUCGAAGGAGCUUCACACGGGGGCGGGCACCCCAUCCCAGACGGGAUUCUCNCCCUCUAUGACGGCCCGUUCC
rnacentral:rRNA from 1 species